CUAUGCGCCCAGGACAUUCUGGCUGUCUUUUCUCUCAUUUUUGUUUUGGAAACAGGGUCAUAUUACACAGCCCUGGCUAGCCUGGCUCCUAGAACUCACUGUGUAGACCAGGCUUGGUCUUGAACUCACAGAGAUCUACUCAGGCUGUGUUCAUAGACCCACAGACUGGCCUCUGCCCACCACAGCUGACCUAUAAUUGUGCUUCUGGGCUCUCCUCUACGUGGCUGUCAUUGUAUCUUGCCUAGUAGCCCAUAGUGUCAUACACUGGCCAUGUCACAUGACUACUGGUCGCGUGUUCAUGCCAUGCUAGACUCUCAAGUUCUACCUGUACCACCGCACCCUGAUCGGCUCUCAUCUUAAUGUUAUUGUAUUCAAUUUUUAUAAAAAUUCGUGAGAUAUUUGUCUAUUUUACAAACCAAGAAAUUGUUGGGAGAGCAAGAGGGUGCCAGUGAGUCAAACUCAGGGCUGGCUAACUUUAUGCCAGGCAAAUUCUCUCCCCCUGAGCCACGUCUCUCAGUCAUGUAAAGAAAUGAACUCUGUCAAAGUUCUGUACUUAGCUAAGUACCACAGAAAAAGGGUGGGGCUUGGAGCACAGAGUGGAGGUCUUUUCUGCCUACAGCUCCCAGAGAAAUCUCUGCCGGGGUGCCGAGGGAGGCUGUCUUUCUCUUUCAGUUUCGUCUUCUCUGUCUCUUCUUCCCGGACUCUGGCUGGUGCCCUGUUUUCACCGCGUAAGAAUGGGGGUGAAUGUCUUAGCAUUUAUCAAGCCUUAUUUCCCAGGCUCCAGAUCCUAUUUAAACCCCUUGCUUUGGAAUCUAUCCUGACGUAAAGUCAUCGAAACACAGGGAACGUUUGAUGGCGGAUCUUGAGCUCGAGAGCGCACCGGCGAGCACGUGCUGGGGGGGGGGCGGGGAGGGGCUUGCUGGAGCGGAUUACCCUUCCUCUCUGGGGAGUUUGAGGGGGUGCACGGAGCGUACUGAGAAUCUGUGGGUCUCACAUGCUGCCGCCUGUGUGGAUGAGGCCAGUCGAGGAGCGCCCCGCUUUGAAAAACAACCCCUACAAAAUCCAACUCCGUCCUGUCCUCAGCAAACAAAGCUAAGUUUGACCACAGCAGGUGUUUCAUAUCUGCUAACACCUCAGGGUGCUGCUGGCUGUCUUUGCAGGGAGAUGGCAGACACUUGACCACAGUCUCUGUGUUGUCAAGGGCUGGCCAAGAGGCUGUUUCCCAGGCAAAAGACCUGCUGUGUACCUAAGCUUCUCCACACUUUCUGGAUUUUCCUAAGGUAGGGGACCCUGGGGUCAGAGGGACACACCUCAUUUUGUCUGAUUUUAUCUAUAAAACGAUCUAUCUGCCAAUGGCUGCUCACAUAGCCCCAGAGUAGAGGACUUGCUUCCUAUGCCCGAGGUUAUGGGUUCAUUUCCGGGCAGUUGAAAUCCAUCCCUGACAUUCAUUGUUUUCAGACUCCUCCUUUGGCUGUGUUGCUUAGAAACCUCUGCUUCACCUUCUGGAAGGUUCCACUAGGCAGCCUGCCUAUCCAUGAGAGGAAGUUUUAGGCGAAUGAAGUCCACACUACCUGAUUGGGGUGGCUGAAUUUCUCAGGGUUCCAGGACGGAGCCAACCUGGUUCCAUCUGUCGGCCUUGCCUCCUCUCUCUUUCCCCUUUUACUCUGCCUGAACCUGGUCACCAAGAUUGCUGCACCCAAUGGUAAAAUCCUCAACUUCCCUGGCUGAAAACAAGAGCUUGGAAAACCCUAACAGCCCGGAUAGCGACAGGGAAGUGACGUCCGCCAGGGGGCGCCCCGCCCUUAACUGGACUCUGCAGGCCUGGCGUGCAGCCGGACAGCAGGCGACCAUGGCUCAGAAGGGCCUUUGAUGGACAGGCGGUGAAUGGGUCACAGAGUCACUAAUGGCUUCGUCGUCCGCUAUCCGCCACCCGCCGCCCGCCGCUCGCCGCUGGAGGAGGAAAUGGCCCUGCCCAGGCAUCGAUCUUGCAAGCGGCUGAGCAGCUGCUGUGGUUCCAGGGAGGCUGCCUGCUCCAGAGGCCCUCCUGUGUCCAAUCCUGAGGCCCUGCGCUUCUCUGCCUCCCUUCCUGCCUUGUUUUGCUUCAGUCCACUUAUCCUUCCUUCCUCAAUGUUUCUAGCCCCAGUUGACUGGGUGUGUACCCUCAAUAAAGCCAUCUUCUUAAGGCACUUGUAACCAUAA